ACGGAGGGUGCAAGCGUUAAUCGGAAUUACUGGGCGUAAAGCGCACGAAGGCGGUUUGUUAAGUCAGAUGUGAAAACCCCGGGCUCAACCUGGGAAAUGCACCUGAUAAUGGCAAGCUUGAGUCUCGUAGAGGGGGGUAAAAUUCCAGGAGUAGCGGUGAAAUGCGUAGAGAUCUGGAGGAAUACCAGUGGCGAAGGCGGCCCCCUGGACGAAGUCUGACUCUCAGGUGUGUAAGCGUGGGGAGCAAACAG
rnacentral:rRNA from 1 species